UACGUAGGGUGCGAGCGUUGUCCGGAAUUAUUGGGCGUAAAGAGCUCGUAGGCGGUUUGUCGCGUCUGCCGUGAAAGUCCGGGGCUCAACUCCGGAUCUGCGGUGGGUACGGGCAGACUAGAGUGAUGUAGGGGAGACUGGAAUUCCUGGUGUAGCGAUGAAAUGCGCAGAUAUCAGGAGGAACACCGAUGGCGAAGGCAGGUCUCUGGGCAUUAACUGACGCUGAGGAGCGAAAGCAUGGGGAGCGAACAGG
rnacentral:rRNA from 1 species